rnacentral:rRNA from 1 species
AGUGAACGCUGGCGGUAGGCCUAACACAUGCAAGCCGAACGGCAGCACAGUAAGAGCUUGCUCUUACGGGUGGCGAGUGGCGGACGGGUGAGGAAUACAUCGGAAUCUACUUUUUCGUGGGGGAUAACGUAGGGAAACUUACGCUAAUACCGCAUACGACCUACGGGUGAAAGCAGGGGAUCUUCGGACCUUGCGCGAUUGAAUGAGCCGAUGUCGGAUUAGCUAGUUGGCGGGGUAAAGGCCCACCAAGGCGACGAUCCGUAGCUGGUCUGAGAGGAUGAUCAGCCACACUGGAGCUGAGACACGGUCCAGACUCCUACGGGAGGCAGCAGUGGGGAAUAUUGGACAAUGGGCGCAAGCCUGAUCCAGCCAUACCGCGUGGGUGAAGAAGGCCUUCGGGUUGUAAAGCCCUUUUGUUGGGAAAGAAAAGCAGCAGGUUAAUACCCCGCUGUUCUGACGGUACCCAAAGAAUAAGCACCGGCUAACUUCGUG